rnacentral:rRNA from 2 species
GGAUGCGAUCAUACCAGCACUAAAGCACCGGAUCCCAUCAGAACUCCGAAGUUAAGCGUGCUUGGGCGAGAGUAGUACUAGGAUGGGUGACCUCCUGGGAAGUCAUCGUGUUGCAUUCC